UACGGUUCCCAGAAUUCCCAGCAUCUACACAUCAUAGAGUAAUCCAUACUCUAUGAUGUGUAGAUGCUGGGAAUUAUGGGAACCGC